GAUGAACGCUGGCGGCGUGCCUAAUACAUGCAAGUCGAGCGAACGGACGAGAAGCUUGCUUCUCUGAUGUUAGCGGCGGACGGGUGAGUAACACGUGGAUAACCUACCUAUAAGACUGGGAUAACUUCGGGAAACCGUAGCUAAUACCGGAUAAUAUUUUGAACCGCAUGGUUCAAUAGUGAAAGACGGUUUUGCUGUCACUUAUAGAUGGAUCCGCGCCGCAUUAGCUAGUUGGUAAGGUAACGGCUUACCAAGGCAACGAUGCGUAGCCGACCUGAGAGGGUGAUCGGCCACACUGGAACUGAGACACGGUCCAGACUCCUACGGGAGGCAGCAGUAGGGAAUCUUCCGCAAUGGGCGAAAGCCUGACGGAGCAACGCCGCGUGAGUGAUGAAGGUCUUCGGAUCGUAAAACUCUGUUAUUAGGGAAGAACAAAUGUGUAAGUAACUAUGCACGUCUUGACGGUACCUAAUCAGAAAGCCACGGCUAACUACGUG
rnacentral:rRNA from 1 species